GGCUGACCGUGGACAGUAUAUAGCGGUUAAAGAGCCUUGGGGAGCAGAGCCUGUGGGUUGGGGUGGAAUAGUUAAUCAAGAUGUUUGAUUUGUUUGCUCGGAUGACCGAGAUUGAAAACAAGACAGGUAAGGAGGUUCAGAUAAAAGAGGUCGAGAGAGGUGAUAAAUCGGGGGGAAAGCUAGUUGUUAGGAUACCAGAUGAGAGUCGCAAAUUGAUAAGAGCGAAGAAAUUCCUAGAUCAUAGUUCUUAUGAUGGUGUUCCCAGAUCCGUUCAUGUCAUCGCAACUGCUAAUGGUACGACGACCACGAUGGUCCUUACAGCACAGUAUUUCAAUACCAACGGACGAGUCACCUUUGAAGUAGAAAAAGAAACAGGAAAACUGGUGGCGAAGGCAGAAACGAUCCCCCAAAAAAGCAACUUCAUGAGGCUUUUCUCAGACUCUUCACGGGUACAGUGAUGAGUUUGCUGAGAACUGGAGUUCGUUGAAAUCGGUUUCACUGUGAGUGUUUUUGUUCGUUCAACUUGGUGAAUUUUGUGUUGGACAAGAUUGUAUUUCCUAGUUUCUGUUCUGGUUUGGAUUGCAGGGAGUCGUGACAAUAUGGGCUAGUUUGUUAUUGUUUUGCUUUCAAUAAAACUGCUUUUUAAAGCAGUCAGAGUGUUUCACAAUCUGAGUUUGUAAAUGUGAUGUCAAAGUGUUGUAAAAUUUUUAUGUAAAAGGGACUUGUUAUUUACUUAUUAUGUGUUGUAAAAAAUUUAUGUAAAAGGGAUGUGUUAUUUACUUAUUAAUAGCAAAGCCAAAAUGCCAACCGGAUUCUAGCACAAUGAAAAAGGGCAUUGACAA